GAUUGAACGCUGGCGGCAGGCCUAACACAUGCAAGUCGAGCGGAUGAAGGGAGCUUGCUCCUGGCUUCAGCGGCGGACGGGUGAGUAAUGCCUAGGAAUCUGCCUGGUAGUGGGGGAUAACGUCCGGAAACGGGCGCUAAUACCGCAUACGUCCUGAGGGAGAAAGUGGGGGAUCUUCGGACCUCACGCUAUCAGAUGAGCCUAGGUCGGAUUAGCUAGUUGGUGGGGUAAAGGCCUACCAAGGCGACGAUCCGUAACUGGUCUGAGAGGAUGAUCAGUCACACUGGAACUGAGACACGGUCCAGACUCCUACGGGAGGCAGCAGUGGGGAAUAUUGGACAAUGGGCGAAAGCCUGAUCCAGCCAUGCCGCGUGUGUGAAGAAGGUCUUCGGAUUGUAAAGCACUUUAAGUUGGGAGGAAGGGCAGUAAGUUAAUACCUUGCUGUUUUGACGUUACCAACAGAAUAAGCACCGGCUAACUUCGUG
rnacentral:rRNA from 1 species